GAUGAACGCUGACAGAAGGCUUAACACAUGCAAGUCAACUGGAACUUCGGAUUGGGUGGCGGACGGGUGAGUAACGCGUAGAGAACUUGCCUCACAGAGAGGGACAACAUGUGGAAACGAAUGCUAAUACCGGAUAUUAUGAUUAUAUGGCAUCGCAUAAUUAUGAAAGCUAUAUGCGCUGUGAGAGAUCUUUGCGUCCCAUUAGCUAGUUGGCGAGGUAACGGCUCGCCAAGGCGAGGAUGGGUAGCCGGCCUGGGAGGGUGAGAGGCUCCAAGGGGACGCGGGCACCGCCCUUACGCCUACUGGCGCAAGGAGUGGGGAAUAUUGGCCAACGGACCACGUGUCUGAUCCAGCCCUUCUGUGUGUAAGAUGAAGUUUUUCGGAAUGUAAAGUGUUUUCAGUUGGGAAGAAAACAAUGACGGUACCAACAGAAGAAGUGCCGGCUAACUCCGUG
rnacentral:rRNA from 1 species